CAUUUCUUUGUAACUUAUAUCAUUGAACCAGCGUGAAUCGGCUGUUUAACAUGUAUUUCACGAUAAUUAAUGUCGCUUGGUAAUUUGCUAUCUCACAGAACCAAAAAUUAUAAGAAUCAUUUCCUUAAAUAAGAAGGAGAUAAGUAAAAACGAACAUUAUCUGUUGGAUGCAUGUCAUUGUCGGCUUUUUCGACGCUUGGGGCGCUGGUGUCGCUCCAACUGUCAAACGGAAAACAACUUUCGCUUGAGUGUCGUGGCGGUAUUUAUUAGACUGUUGCCAAAGCGAACGAAGCAGAUGCCAUGUUUUCUCUACAGGUUAUAGUACAUCUCGUGUUAGACGUUGGUAAUUCAUGUUCGGAUCGAAAGUUCCUGUGGAGGAACAAUUGAAUGUAUCGUGGCGUGAAGAGAAAUCAUUUUCCAGGCAACAGACGCGUGGAGUUCUAUUUAUUCUUUUCCACGGGCAGCUGGCUUGUUGUUAGCGUAUGUUUGAGGCUAGGCCGAGUGUGGAUUUAAUGCUGUAGAUGUCGUACCAGGUGCUCACAACAGACGCAGGCUUGUAAACAGUGCUACGCUUGUGAUCGGUUUGGCUAUAUUUUAUGUCUUGCAAGAGUGUGUGUUCGAUUUUGUCCGAUGAAAUUCAAAACAAAAUUGUGAUUAAAGUGCCUCUUCGUAUAUCAACAGUUCCUGCAAAUACGAACAGAUUCAAGGAGGUUGACGCUCAUGAAAGAUAAUCAUCAGUCCGUGUGUUGUCAUGGAGGAAGAGACACGGGAUGCUUUCACGCCGGUCGGUACGGCCGUGAAGAGAUGAACAGGCGCUCUACAGCAGCAGCAGCGGACUGGUCCAUCCCUGUCCAGAACGUCACUUCCACCACGGCCACUUUGCCGCAUACCGCAGUGGCGACAAUCUGCGGAACUGCCUGCCUUUCGCCGUUCUCUCUUCGGAUUGGAAACGGCAGCAUUGCAGUGCCCUGUCUGCAGUAUCCUGCCACUGCACGGAGGACCGUUUGCUGCCAGUUGUUUGAAAACUGCAGCAGAGAAGAUUGCGAUACUUCGGUAAGCCCUUUUAGUGGUGCUGCUUGUGAGAAAUCGCAUGCCUAAGAGUGGUUUUCUCAUUUCAAGUCUGUCACUGUAUCAACUGGAAACGUAAUGUGCCAAGGUUAUACUCGGAUCUCAAGAAAUGCUGAAAACAUUGCCGCAAUCAAAUGAGUAAUUGGUCAGCAGUGGACUGUUGACCAAAUUUCUGAGGAAAGAAAAGGGUCACAGAUCAGACCAGCAAAUUUUAACCAAAGAUUUGCACAUGAGACAGGAGUCUGAAAAAAUUUGUUCCUCACUCUUUCGCUGCUGAAUGAAGAGAGAACAGCUUCAAUGUUUACCACAGCUUGAAGAGUGAAAGUUGUCCUAAAAUAAUUGUGAUUGGGAAUGAGUUAGUGCUACUAGUAAGGUCUGGAGUCAAAGCAAGUGUGGAGCCAGUGGAAAACUCGAAUACCACCACGAUCCGAGAAAGUACGUUGAGUGCAAUCUGAUGUGAAAACGAUGUUGAUCUGUGUUUUUGAUGUCGGUGAAAUUGUCCACAAGGAGUUUCUUCCUCCAGCACGAACAGUGAACUAAUAUUUUUAUCUGGACGUGUUAGGUCAUUUGCUAGAGAGUGUGUGACUGAAUCAGCCAGAACUCCAGAGAAAUAGCAACUACUCACCCCAUCAGGCUCUGACUUUUUUCCAAAGGUCAAGCAAACUCUGAAAAAACAGCAAUUCACUCGUGUGAAUGACAUAAAAAAACAGGGUAGCAGCUUUGAACAGUAUCCUGCCACACGAGUCUCGGAACUGUUUUCAGCAGUAGCAAAAGCAUUGGGCCAAGUGCAUCAUUGCACAUGGGUGAUACUUUGAAGGGGUCUAAAGUACUGUAAAUGUUAAGUAAAAAUGCAGAAUAAAAAUUCGUUAUUGAGUCCCCUUGUAAACUCACAAUUCUUGAUUGAAAGCAGUGACUGAGAUUUCGGUGAGUAACCCCCAGAAACUCGCAUGAGACAAGAGAUUGACGAUCCUAAGACAGGCAAUAGCAUGUAAUUCGACAAGUGACCCAAUUUGCCAGUGUCACUCCCAAUGUUCAGUGUAUUUGUAACUGGUGUGCUGUGCUGUACUCUGCUGAGAUGCAGACUGUCUCGAAGCUGACGAGGACAGCUCUCCAUCAAAACUCAAAGGUGCUGCAGUCUACACAGACUCGAACUGAAGACCCCGACAUGGAAUCCACACUGAUGAGACAUUGCGACGGUAGGUUCUCCACCACAGCCUCACGCCGAGUCCCAGACAGUGACUCCAAUGUCACCGAAUUUCUAGUCCUCGAAAUUUUGACUGCCAAUUAUGCAAGAAGUGCAGUAUGCUCUCGUUCUCCUGUAAAGCCAAGACAAUGGAAUCAUUUUCCGCCAAGCUCCAGGCCAGAGGUACUCGGGGAAAUGAACUCGUUGAUGUGGCAGCUUAAGGGGGCUUGCUCCCCUCCACUGCCUGCUCACUGUAGAGCUGCCCCUCCCCUCCCCCAUAGGCUGUCCCCUCAUGUGUGACCAGGAAGCCCGUGUGUCGGUGGACUGCACAGUUGCUGAAUGUGAGGAAUAAUGAAGUACGUUCUGUAAAACAUACUGUGUGACCAUGGUUUAUCUACUUCCACCUCAGAUUUCUGAAGGAGUAGCCCUUAAAGGGCUCGGAAUGGGACAGUGCCCAUUGAUGUGUGGCUUCCUCGUUAGAUGCAAGGGAGCCUCUGGUAUGGCACAGGUGUGGGACGCAGGUAUCAAUGUGAAAUAUUUUAAUUGAAUGUGUUCUAUAUGACAAUUAUUGUUCAGUUGUGUGCUCAAGAAAAUCGUGUGUGAAUGGAACGAGAUAUGCCCACCAUCUGUUAAGAUUGGAAGAAAGAUUCAACUUAACACCAUUGCAUCUGCAGAUGAUAUGGCACUGUUAGCAAACAGUAUUGUUGAAGCAAAGGUUCAUAUAGAACAACUAGAACAAUUAGGGGCAAAGGUUGGAUUGCAAAUUUCGUUUGAGAAAACAGAAAUUAAGCCCAACUACCCAGUUGACACAUCCCAUAUCAUACUCCUUAAUCAUCAAAAAAUUAAAGUUGUAAAGAAGCAGGUAAUUCCAUAAAUUAUCUGGGAGUACGCAUUAGGGAU